rnacentral:lncRNA from 1 species
GAAUACAAGAUGAACAACAAAUACAUUAUAAUUCUAUUAAGUCAAACAAAUAAACUAAUAAAAUGAAAAAAAAUGAAAUACGAUAAUUUACCAUUCCAUUUAACGUGACAUAUGAUCUAGUUAGUCUAAUUUUGAAUAUUGGUAAGGGAGGAUUAGACACUGGAGUAAAGUCUAUCAUUGGUGUAUUGAGAAUAGAGAUUGGUGUAAAUCGUGAGUUAGUAUUGGAUAUUUAUAGCGUUAUUAAAUUUUUUGACUUUCCACCACAAAUGAAGAAGUUACCAAGUUCUGCUACUACUACUAGGC